AACCAUAGAAACCUGCGGAGUACCUGCGGAAGGAUCAUUACAAGUGACCCCGGUUUACCACCGGGAUGUUCAUAACCCUUUGUUGUCCGACUCUGUUGCCUCCGGGGCGACCCUGCCUUCGGGCGGGGGCUCCGGGUGGACACUUCAAACUCUUGCGUAACUUUGCAGUCUGAGUAAACUUAAUUAAUAAAUUAAAACUUUCAGCAAUGGAUCU
rnacentral:misc_RNA from 1 species